ACACACACACACACAAGUGCAUGGCGGGGAAAGAAGCCAUAUUUCUGUUCCUUGCUGAGACUGUAAAUAAAGACUUGAGAAGAAGUGCAUGCUGAAGAUACACGUAGGCUAACGCAUGCACAUGCAGGCACAGGCUUGCCCGCUUCCCUUGCACUCACAUGCUGCUUCGCUCUGAGAAACAUGCGGGUACAGCUUUGUACCUUGAGUUGUACGUACACACUGUACGUGCAGACAUACAUGGAGGGAGCGCGCACACAGACGUUAAAGCACAGUAUAUAAGGGCAUGCUGAUUUGCACACAUACGGACUUUGCACGCUCCCAUAACAUAAGGAAACAUAGUUCACGGUGUGCUCCAUUUGCUUAUGCAGUGAACAUGAAAGCACAAUAUUGAGAGUGUGUGGGCCGAAGUAUUCAACUCUUAAUACCUCUCAUAAGGGAAACAUCUGCUACCCUUCAUAUCUGAGUCCUCUCUUCUUCUUUUUUAAUCUCCCUCCAUGUCUCUCCUGCACUCUCCUCCUCACUCCCUCUCUGUGAAGUUGUUUCUCUUCAUUUCUCUCAUCUUUUUUCUCUCUCUUCUCUGUCCUCUUUUCUCAGUGUGCCCCCAGCUUUUGGCUCUUCAAUGACUCUCCGCCACAGCUGGGGUUGUUUUUGAACCGUCGAAUGCAUCGGCGGCCGAAAAACAAGUGGGCUGCAUUUCUGUGAAAAAGCCACUCCACUCCCUGUGUAGAACUGCUGACCUCUCCAAAAGGCAUAAGUAGCCUUUUCUGUCUGUCUUCUUGUCUUUCUUUGCGUUUCCUUGAGCAUAUUUCUAAUUUUUUUCACAACUGUGCACAGUGGACUGAAACAGCUGUGGUUCACAUCCUACAUCCUGCCGUAGCUCACUUUGCCAAAACACAGAAUUCCAAGGUGCACCAAAUGACCUGGAAAAGAACGCAACAAAUUUUGUUUUUCCUGGAAAUGUCAUCUGCAGGCCACUGUGAUCAUCUGAGAGGGCUGACAUAGCAACACACUGCCAGACAAAGUUCUAAAAUAAAGUUACAAUCACAGUUGAAUUGGAUCUAAAGAAGUUAAUGUAUCUAUGACGUGGAUCAAACCCUACCUCUGUUUCAUGAAAUACAUAACAGUUAUUAAAUUAACCAAUAAAAUUUUUAACUGUGCACUGUAGCCAUUUUGAGGUCAGAUAUGAGAGCUCCUCUCACAGUUAGGACUUUGUUUCUAUUCAUCUCCGUUCCCUUCACUCUCCUUCCUCUGUAGGGAUAAAAAUGGAAAUGUUACACUGUGUAGAUCCACCAUGUAAACUGUGGUGGCAUGCUGGAACAUGAAAGCAGUCUUUGACUGUGACUGCAUGUGCUUGGCCUAGUUUUUGAUUCCAUUAAAUUAUUGGGUGGGUGGGAGGAAAGGCUGCACUGUCUUUUAAGUAUUAGCAAACUGGAUGUCAGAUGGUGUAUAUGAAUGUAUUUAUGUGUGUGUUGUCCAUGUGUCUUCUAGUGCAUAUGGAGGCACAGAUCUGUUGUUUGUUUGCACUUUAUUACAGGACUAGCAUAAUAUGUAUUUAUUAUGCUUAUAGUGCUUGUUAUAUUAUGUUGACAUCAUUUUCUUCAUUAUGUUUUUCAUGACUGAACUUGUCUGUUUCUUGCAGCGUGUCAAUCAAUAUCACGCUGUAGCAACUGAUAUCUAUAGGCUUGACUACAGAAUAGCUACUGGUGAAAGGCUGAAGACCAAGCGAAUAAAUGAAACACACGAUGGUCACCAUGUCUGAGACAAGUGAGACACGUGAAGAAGCACACAGAAAUCAGAACGAGGACAAAGCAGCAGAUAAAACGAGAGCCUUGACUCGUCAUGUAACUCAGAAUUCAAUAUAGGAGACAAACAAUGGAGCGUCCACAAGCUUCCUGCCAACAACAAAACCUGUUCAAAGAGAAACACUAAACCUUCCUCUCCCGCAUCCCUGCCUCUGACCAAGGACAUGUUUGAUGUCAUCCAAAACAAUGUUUAUCUUCCCUCUGUGUCUACUCCAGCUUUGUUUCUGGGUUAUCCCUAAUAUGCUGCCCUGAUAGGUGUGUGUAUCAAGCCUGGGUGUGUGCCACAUGGAAGGGACCAGACAGAGGUCAACAGUAAAUAACACUGUAUGCAUUGGUGUUUUAUUGGCAGGAGCGAAAGACUGGGCCAUUGUAGCAAGUUUGCAUUUGGAAAUUAUGUUAGAGAAGAGAAAUGUUUUAAUAGUUUUUAAUUGAUUGACAUUUUGGGGAACACGCUGAUUCAGUCUUGCUGAGAGUUGUAUGAGAAGAUUGGUACUACUUUCAUUUGCCUGUGAUAAGUGAUAAGUGAUGAGUGAGGGAAAAUGGCUAAUGUGGCCAGUGUUUGCUAAGAAAUAGUUGCAGCACGCAACUCUCUGUGAAACCACAACUAGCUGUUUUUGCAUUUUUGUUAAUGUACUGGUUAAAGAAAGGACCACGCUGCUGGAAAAUAAGUGUAUCUCCCAAAAAAUGAUCCCUUAAUCUAAUUGUUCAGAAUUUUAAAAACUUUUUUUUUUUUUUUUUAGCACAAACUGGGGUCAUACUAUGCCCUGAACAGCAUUUCUGCCUUUUGAUGUGUAUCAUUAUGUUUCUGAUCUGUGCCUCCAGUGCCAGCAGAUGCUCAUAUUCUGCAUGUGUACAUUGUAGACGAACAGGCAACUGUGCACAUAUGUGCUCUGUGCAUGCAAACAAUGCCACCAGUUGCUGUGGGUGGAAGCUCCCUGGUUGUCUGCCAGCAUGCAGGGAGGGACUGACCACGGCACAAUGGAGGGUGUGAGCUGACUCUGGAGGGGGGGGGGGGGGCAGCAAGGGAGGGAGGUGGUGGAUUUGGAGAAAGAGGUGGUGGUGGUGGAGAAGGACGAGGUGGUGAAGCCACAGGGGUGGUAAGUGGAGAUAAAGCCAGACAGAUGGGACAGACAAUGGAGGCAUAGACACCCAUCCUGCAUGUCAACAACACCCCCCUUGGCCUCCUUCAGACUUUAGCCUUUAGUCCUUUAUCUCUCCCCAUGUGCCAAAGUUUCUUUACAUUCUCACUUUUGUGCCAAGUUUUUCUCUGUUUUUAUUUUCCCAACCUAAGGUCAAUUAAAAAAACUGAAUAUUUUGCA